rnacentral:rRNA from 1 species
UACAGAGGGUGCGAGCGUUAAUCGGAAUUACUGGGCGUAAAGCGUGCGUAGACGGUAGCGUAAGUCAGAUGUGAAAGCCCCGGGCUCAACCUGGGAACUGCAUUUGAGACUGCUCUGCUCGGGUGCGGAAGAGGGAAGCGGAAUUUCCGGUGUAGCGGUGAAAUGCGUAGAUAUCGGAAGGAACACCAGUGGCGAAAGCGGCUCCCUGGUCCAGCACCGACGUUCAGGCACGAAAGCGUGGGGAGCAAACAGG